rnacentral:sRNA from 1 species
AUAAAAUUAGAAGAAGGGGCAUGUGGAUUGCCCCUCGAUAAAAGCUGAAAUAUUACACUUCUGGUUUGGCCGCCGAUCAGUAAUAUUGAGGCUCAUUGGUGUUACGAGUAGCUGGCUGUUAGUUUUGUUCCUUACGUCCUUUAUUACUGGCAGUUUUUGUAACCAUAACCUGAGACUUCUCUCAGGUUUUUUUCU